rnacentral:rRNA from 1 species
AGUCGUACGCUCGCAAGAGCGUGGCAACGGGUGAGUAACGCGUAGACAACCUACCCCAAACCGGGAACUACCCCCGCGAAAGCGGGGUUAAUGUCCCAUGAGGUGCCAUCCUGCAACGGGUGUCAUCAAAGCUCCGGCGGUAUGGGAGGGGUCUGCGUCCUAUCAGCUUGUUGGCGGGGUAAUUGCCCACCAAGGCUAUGACGGGUAGCUGGUCUGAGAGGAUGGACAGCCACACUGGGACUGCGACACGGCCCAGACUCCUACGGGAGGCAGCAGCAGGGAAUCGUUGGCAAUGGACGAAAGUCUGACCACGCGACGCCGCGUGAAGGAAGAAGGCCUUCGGGUUGUAAACUUCUUUUAUGAGGGACGAUGAUGACGGUACCUCAUGAAUAAGCACCUGCUAACCACGUGCCAGCAGCCGCGGUAAGACGUGGGGUGCAAGCGUUGUCCGGAGUGACUGGGCGUGAAGGGCGUGUAGGCGGUCUUGUGAGUCUUCUUUGAAAGCCAUGGGCUCAACCCAUGAUUCGGAGGAGAUACUGCGAGGCUAGACGGUACCAGGGGCAGAUGGAAUUCCCGGUGGAGGAGUAAAAUCCGUUGAGAUCGGGAGGAACACCAGUGGCGAAGGCGAUCUGCUAGGGUACUCGUGACGCUGAGGCGCGACAGUCUGGGGAGCGAAAGGGAUUAGAUACCCCUGUAGUCUAGACCGUAAACGAUGCAUUCUAGGCAUUGGGAGUAUCGACCCUCCCUGUACCGUAGCUAACGCGUUAAGAAUG